UACGUAGGUGGCAAGCGUUGUCCGGAUUUACUGGGCGUAAAGAGCGCGCAGGCGGUCGUACAAGUCGCGUGUGAAAGCCCCCCGGCUCAACUGGGGGAGGGUCACGCGAUACUGUUCGACUCGAAGGCAGGAGAGGGAAGCAGAAUUCCCCGGUGUAGUGGUGAAAUGCGUAGAUAUCGGGAGGAAUACCAGUGGCGAAGGCGGCGACCUGGUCCGGGACUGACGCUGAGGCGCGAAAGCGUGGGGAGCAAACAGG
rnacentral:rRNA from 1 species